rnacentral:tRNA from 1 species
GGGCCAUUAGCUCAGUUGGUAGAGCAGCGGACUCUUAAUCCGGUGGUCCAAGGUUCGAAUCCUUGAUGGCCCACCA